GCAAGGACAAUAGCUCAGUUGGUAGAGCGUGAGACUCUUAAUCUCAGCCUUGUGGGUUUGAGCCCCGUGUUGAGCA